rnacentral:rRNA from 1 species
CCUACGGGUGGCAGCAGUCGAGAAUCAUUCACAAUGGGGGAAACCCUGAUGGUGCGACGCCGCGUGGGGGAAUGAAGGUCUUCGGAUUGUAAACCCCUGUCAUGUGGGGGCAAAUUAAAAAGAUAGUACCACAAGAGGAAGAGACGGCUAACUCUGUGCAAGCAGCCGCGGUAAUACAGAGGUCUCAAGCGUUGUUCGGAAUCACUGGGCGUAAAGCGUGCGGAGGCUGUUUCGUAAGUCGUGUGUGAAGGGCGCGGGCUCAACCCGCGGACGGCACAUGAUACUGCGAGACUAGAGUAGUGGAGGGGGAACCGGAAUGCUCGGUGUAGCAGUGAAAUGCGUAGAUAUCGAGAGGAACACUCGUGGCGAAGGCAGGUUCCUGGACAUUAACUGACGCUGAGGCACGAAGGCCAGGGGAGCGAAAGGGAUUAGAUACCCGAGUAGUC